rnacentral:rRNA from 1 species
UACGAAGGGGGCUAGCGUUGCUCGGAAUCACUGGGCGUAAAGGGUGCGUAGGCGGGUCUUUAAGUCAGGGGUGAAAUCCCGGAGCUCAACUCCAGAACUGCCUUUGAUACUGAGGAUCUUGAGUACGGGAGAGGUGAGUGGAACUGCGAGUGUAGAGGUGAAAUUCGUAGAUAUUCGCAAGAACACCAGUGGCGAAGGCGGCUCACUGGCCCGUAACUGACGCUGAGGCACGAAAGCGUGGGGAGCAAACAGG